rnacentral:rRNA from 1 species
UCCGCCGCCAUAGGAUGGGUCUGCGGCCGAUUAGGUGGUUGUUGGGGUAACGGCCCAACAAGCCUGUAAUCGUUACGGGUUGUGGGAGCAAGAGCCCGGAGAUGAAUUCUGAGACACGGAUCCAGGCCCUACGGGGCGCAGCAGGCGCGAAAACUUUACAAUGCGGGAAACCGUGACAAGGGAACUCUGAGUGCCUGUAAACUCGGGCUGUUCAUCAGUUUAAAUAACCUGUGGAGAAAGGGCCGGGCAAGACCGGUGCCAGCCGCCGCGGUAAUACCGGCGGCUCGAGUGGUGGCCACUAUUACUGGGCUUAAAGCGUUCGUAGCUGGUCUGUUAAGUCUCUGGGGAAAUCUCCCGGCUUAACCGGAGGGCGUCCAAGGGAUACUGGCAGACUAGGGACCGGGAGAGGUGAGAGGUACUCCCGGGGUAGGAGUGAAAUCCUGUAAUCCUUGGGGGACCACCUGUGGCGAAGGCGGCUCACCAGAACGGCUCCGACAGUGAGGGACGAAAGCUGGGGGAGCAAACCGGAUUAGAUACCCGGGUAGUCCCAGCCGUAAACGAUGCGCGUUAGGUGUAUCGUGACCACGAGCCCUUGCGGUGCCGAAGAGAAACCGUUAAACGUCCCGCCUGGGAAGUACGGUCGCAAGACUGAAACUUAA